rnacentral:rRNA from 1 species
UACGGAGGAUCCGAGCGUUAUCCGGAUUUAUUGGGUUAAAGGGUGCGUAGGCGGCUUAUUAAGUCAGGGGUGAAAGACGACAGCUCAACUGUCGCAGUGCCUUGAUACUGAGGAGCUUGAAUGGACUUGAAGUAGGCGGAAUGUGACAAGUAGCGGUGAAAUGCAUAGAUAUGUCACAGAACACCAAUUACGAAGGCAGCUUACUAAAGUUUAAUUGACGCUGAGGCACGAAAGCGUGGGGAUCAAACAGG